rnacentral:rRNA from 1 species
UACGGGGGGAGCAAGCGUUGUUCGGAUUUACUGGGCGUAAAGGGCGCGUAGGCGGCUUUGACAAUUCAGUUGUGAAAUCUCCGGGCUUAACCCGGAACGGUCAACUGAUACUGUCGAGCUAGAGUGCAGAAGGGGCAACUGGAAUUCUCGGUGUAGCGGUGAAAUGCGUAGAUAUCGAGAGGAACACCUGCGGCGAAGGCGGGUUGCUGGGCUGACACUGACGCUGAGGCGCGAAAGCUAGGGGAGCGAACGGG